rnacentral:rRNA from 1 species
UGGGAAGUUUUGGACAAUGGGCGAAAGCCUGAUCCAGCAAUGCCGCGUGCAGGAUGAAGGCCUUCGGGUUGUAAACUGCUUUUGUACGGAACGAAAAAGCUCCUUCUAAUACAGGGGCCAUGGCACGGUGACCGUAAGAAUAAGCACCGGCUAACUACGUGCCAGCAGCCGCGGUAAUACGUAGGGUGCGAGCGUUAAUCGGAAUUACUGGGCGUAAAGCGUGCGCAGGCGGUUAUGUAAGACAGAUGUGAAAUCCCGGCCUCAGGCCUGGCAAACCUGGGCAAUUGUGCACUUGGCCAAUUUUGGGUGCAUAGACGUUGACCGGAUUGGCAUAGGAAGGGGGGUAAUGGAACUUGGUCCGCAGGUAGGGGGAUUGGAAAUUGCCCAGGUCGGUAAAGUUUAGGCCAGGUUUUGAAAAUUGGCAGUUAAUG